UUCUUCGCCUACCAUGGUCUUAACGGGUAACGGGGAAUCAGGGUUCGAUUCCGGAGAGGGAGCCUGAGAAACGGCUACCACAUCCAAGGAAGGCAGCAGGCGCGCAAAUUACCCACUCCCGGCACGGGGAGGUAGUGACGAAAAAUAACGAUACGGGACUCAUCCGAGGCCCCGUGAUCGGAAUGAGCACACUUUAGAUCCUUGGUCGAGGAUCAAUUGGAGGGCAAGUCUGGUGCCAGCAGCCGCGGUAAUUCCAGCUCCAAUAGCGUAUAUUAAAGUUGUUGCGGUUAAAAAGCUCGUAGUCGGACCUGUGUCUCACGCUGCCGGUUCACCGCUCGUCGGUGUCAAACUGGCACGCCCGUGCGACGUCCUGCCGGUGGUCCGAUACGCGGUGGCCUUUAAAAGUUGCCGCGAGGAGGACCUAAGAUUAACCCGUCGCGGUGCUCUUAACCGAGUGUCUCGUCGGGCCGGCACGUUUACUUUGAACAAAUUAGAGUGCUCAAAGCAGGCAUCUACCGCCUGAAUAUCGGUGCAUGGAAUAAUGGAAUAGGACCUCGGUUCUAUUUUGUUGGUCUUCGGAAUACCCGAGGUAAUGAUCAAUAGGGACAGACGGGGGCAUUCGUACUGCGACGUUAGAGGUGAAAUUCUUGGAUCGUCGCAAGACGGACAGAAGCGAAAGCAUUUGCCAAGAAUGUUUUCUCUGAUCAAGAACGAAAGUUAGAGGUCCGAAGGCGAUCAGAUACCGCCCUAGUUCUAACCAUAAACGAUGCCGUCGAGCAAUCCGCCGCAGUUCCUCCGAUGACUCGGCGGGCGGCUUAAGGGAAACCAAAGAUUUUAGGUUCCGGGGGAAGUAUGGUUGCAAA
rnacentral:rRNA from 1 species